AGAAAGCCACUUGUGAUUAUAACUAUCAAGUGGGAGUUAAUUGAGAAUUAACUUAGGGUUAGGUUGAUUACCCUAAGUAUAAAAGCUUGCUACAGUAACCUAAAGCAUUACGUUGAUCUCGUUUCUCUUCCCUUACUAUGUUCCCUGCUUAUUGCAUCUUCGCCAUCUCGAUCGUGUUGGCACCGUGCGAUCAUUGUUGGCUAAGCCUUCUCCUCUAUCGAUCGCCUGAGCCAACCAACCACACUCCCUAGAUCGUCACCCCGUGCAAACAGAUCUUCGGCCAAGAGGGGAGAUUCGAGCCUUAGCCUUGAUCUCCCAUCGCCGCAUCCCUGCGCAUCAUGUCUCUGAUCUUCGAUUUGCACUACUUCGGCCAACCUCUUACUCCACUCCCCAUUGUCACCCGAUUGCAUCAGAUCCCUACUUGACACCACCGCUCGAUCGUGCCGGUGCCACAUGGUCGCCGCCCUUUUCCUUUGCCUUGGCUCACCACCAUCCUUCUUCGUUGCCUUCGAGCCGGUGCCCUAGUGUUGUCGAUGUCCUUUCCUCUACCUCGGCUCGUCACCACAGCACCAUAGAGACAUUCGGAUUCUGUCUGUGAGGAAGUGUGGAUCCGGCUUAGGGGUAAGUUGCCGGUGCCACAUGGUCGCCGCCCUUUUCCUUUGCCUUGGCUCACCACCAUCCUUCUUCGUUGCCUUCGAGUCGGUGCCCUAGUGUUGUCGAUGUCCUUUCCUCUACCUCGGCUCGUCACCACAGCACCAUAGAGACAUUCGGAUUCUGUCUGUGAGGAAGUGUGGAUCCGGCUUAGGGGUAAGUUGUUAGCUAAAGGUUGUAGAAUAAGAGUUAGAGUUUAAUUCUUAGAUGUGGAUGUAUUGAUUGUAAAUUUGGGUGUUGGAAUUGGAGCAGCAGUUUCACCUUCUCCAGGCAUCAAUUUUGACAGUGAGUUUCUCUAGGGGAGAAUCAUUGGCUGAGGUAUCAACCCGGUGAGUCGUUGACAUUGAUCUAUGUUUAGCUUAACCUAUUUUGAUUAUAGAAGAGUUAGGGCUAGUUAGUCCACUUUGAUUGUGAAAUUAUUAAGAGUAAUUAACUCAAUUGGAUCGUGGAAUGAUUAGGGAAUGUAGUUAUGAUCAAUUAUGAAUGAGGUCAGAUUUAGAGAUGAUGCAUAUAUAAACCCUAAUAUAGUAAGUUUAUGAUAUGAUUAAGGUUUAAUUGAGGACCUAAUUUAAUCAAAUCACUUGGAUGGAUUAAGCUAAGGUUGGGUUAGCUCCGAUUCGAUCAAUAAAGGAGAAUUAACCCAAGGAGUUUAGAUUCGAGGCGAGUAUCUUGAUGUGGAAAUUGUUUGACAUGAUCUAAAGAUAAAAGACGGGUAUUACGAGCAUAUAUGUUGUUGAUCUCUAGUGAGUUUACUGAUCAUUCUAUCAGAUGUGUUAGAUCCAGAUUAGAUAAGGGCAAGGGAUGGAUGAACUAGGGGAGCAGCAGGAGGGGCUAGAAGGACAUGUGUGGCAGUGAUCUGGCUAAGGAUAAAGAAAAUACCUGCUUACACUAAAUAAGAAUUAUGCCUAGUUUUAUGUCAUUUACUUUAUAACUUCAUGACAUUUUACUUUGUGUUGAGUAUCAUGACUCGAAAACAAUAUUAAGUAUGCUAUGUGGUUUAUGUGAUUAGAUGAUUAGUCAUGGUGAAUUUUAAAGUCAUGAAAAGGUUAUAAAUGUUACGAAUAAGACUUCCGCUGUAAUAAG